rnacentral:rRNA from 1 species
UACAGAGGGUGCGAGCGUUGUCCGGAAUCACUGGGCGUAAAGGGCGCGUAGGCGGCUUGAUAAGCGUGCGGUGAAAGCCCGGGGCUCAGCCCCGGGUCGGCCGUGCGAACUGUCGAGCUGGAGCACUGUAGAGGCAGGUGGAAUUCCGGGUGUAGCGGUGGAAUGCGUAGAGAUCCGGAAGAACACCGGUGGCGAAGGCGGCCUGCUGGGCAGUGGCUGACGCUGAGGCGCGACAGCGUGGGGAGCAAACAGG